UGGGGAAUAUUGGACAAUGGGGGCAACCCUGAUCCAGCGAUGCCGCGUGUGUGAAGAAGGCCUGAGGGUUGUAAAGCACUUUUGUUGGGGAGGAUUGCUGUUGGCUUAAUAGGCCAAACAGUUGACGUUACCCAAAGAAUAAGCACCGGCUAACUCUGUGCCAGCAGUCGCGGUAAUACAGAGGCCACAAGCGUUAGUCGGAAUCACUGGGCUUAAAGGGUGCGUAGGCUGGUCCGCAAGCGUCUUGUGAAAGCCCUCGGCUCAACCGAGGAACAGCAGGGCGAACUGCGGAUCUUGAGGCAGGUAGGGGUCGCGAGAACAGUAGGUGGAGCGGUGAAAUGCGUAGAUAUCUACUGGAAUGCCGAUGGUGAAGACGCGCGACUGGGCCUGUCCUGACGCUGAGGCACGAAAGCGUGGGGAGCAAACAGGAUUAGAUACCCCAGUAGUCCCUGAGCGGGCUGGCAAGGCGCAU
rnacentral:rRNA from 1 species